rnacentral:tRNA from 1 species
GCACCCAUGGCGGAAUUGGUAGACGCAAGAGACUUAAAAUCUCUCGACCACUGGUCGUGCCGGUUCGAUUCCGGCUGGGUGCA